rnacentral:misc_RNA from 1 species
AGCAUGUCCCGGAGCCGCUCAGGCCAUCGCAGGAGGCGCUCGAUCUCGACGACCUCGUCAACGAGUGGUCGCCCCGAACACCUUCUCGAGCUCGUACGGAGUCGUGACCUCGAGCUGAUCGUACCGGCAGUCGUGCGGCGCCCGGUCGGGCCGCCAGCGCAGGAACGUGGCCGCGUGCCGGAAGCGAUCACCCUGCAUGUGGUCGUACUUCACCUCGCACACCCGUUCGACCCGCAAUGGUUCCCAGGAGAGAUCCUUGCCCGCGCUCCAGCGGCUCUGGCCGCCAGGCAUGCGGGUCAUGUCGCUGCCCGCUUCCGCCCACUCGCGCCACGGAUGGUCGCGCAUGGCGUCGGCCCGGAAUGGCGCGAGCUCUCCGGCGAGUGCCUUGCGGUGUGCCAUGGUGAACGAUGACGUGACGCCGACGUGGUGCAGCCGGCCCUGGUCGUCGUAGAGGCCGAGCAGCAGGGAUCCGAUCAGCUCGCCGUGCCCGGCCUUGUGCCAGCGGAAGCCGGCGACGACACUGUCUGCGGUGCGUGCAUGCUUCACCUUGAUCAUCGAGCGCCGGCCCGGCUCGUAUGUGCCGGCGAGCGGCUUGACCAUGACGCCAUCCAGUCCGGCCCCUUCGAACCGCUGCAGCCAGUCAGCGGCAAUGUCGCGGCGGCGUGUCGUCGGCGUCAGGUGCAGUGGGGGCGCGGCGCCGGAGAGCAGCUGUUCCAGCAGAUGCCGUCGCUCUUCGUAGGCCAGCGACCGCACGUCGCGACCGUCAACCGCGAGCAGAUCGAACGCCACGAACGAGGACGGUGUCGCCUGCGCCAGCUUGGCCACACGCGACGCCACCGGGUGCAGGCGCAGCUGCAGCGCAUCGAAGUCGAGUCCGUGCGCGGUGGCAAUCACGAUUUCCCAGUCGAUCACGCAACCGGCGGGAAGGGCCGAUCGCAACGUCUCACUGAGCUCCGGGAAGUACCGAUCAAGGGGACGCAAAUCCCGGCUCUGCAUCAGGAUGGCGGUCGCGCUCCGGAAUACGAUGGCGCGGAACCCAUCCCACUUGGGUUCGAACGACAACCGCUCGCCGCCGGGCAGCCCGUCGGCAAGCUUCGCCAGCAUCGGCUCGAUCGGCGGGGCAAUCG